GAUGAACGCUGGCGGCGUGCUUAACACAUGCAAGUCGAGCGAGUGAGUUCUUCGGAACGAUCUAGCGGCGGACGGGUGAGUAACACGUGGGCAACCUGCCUCAUAGAUGGGAAUAGCCUCCCGAAAGGGAGAUUAAUACCGCAUAAAAUUAUCGAGUGGCAUCACAUGCUAAUCAAAGGAGUAAUCCGCUAUGAGAUGGGCCCGCGGCGCAUUAGCUAGUCGGUGAGGUAACGGCUCACCAAGGCGACGAUGCGUAGCCGACCUGAGAGGGUGAUCGGCCACAAUGGGACUGAGACACGGCCCAGACUCCUACGGGAGGCAGCAGUGGGGAAUAUUGCACAAUGGGGGAAACCCUGAUGCAGCAACGCCGCGUGAGUGAUGAAGGUCUUCGGAUUGUAAAGCUCUGUCUUUGGGGACGAUAAUGACGGUACCCAAGGAGGAAGCCACGGCUAACUACGUGCCAGCCGCCGCAGUAA
rnacentral:rRNA from 1 species